UACGUAGGGUGCGAGCGUUAAUCGGAAUUACUGGGCGUAAAGCGUGCGCAGGCGGUUUUGCAAGCCGGAUGUGAAAUCCCCGGGCUCAACCUGGGAAUGGCGAUGAAGACUGCAAGGCUAGAGUUUGGCAGAGGGGGGUAGAAUUCCACGUGUAGCAGUGAAAUGCGUAGAUAUCGAGAGGAACACCAGUGGCGAAGGCGAGUCCCUGGACACUUCCUGACACUGAGGCACGAAAGCUAGGGGAGCAAACAGG
rnacentral:rRNA from 1 species